UUUUUUUUUUUUUAAUCCUUAGAAGUUUUGGUAUGAGGCUUAAUUUUUGUGGGCUUUCCAUACUUCAGUACUGCCAGUAAGUAGUUUUUAGAACCUAAUUUCACAAAAUUUUAGCAACUCCCUCGCUCAGUUCAUUUUCUUGAAAUAACUAGCUACAAUUUUAUUUUUAUAAUGUUGGGUAAUUUUCCUGUGAUAUCCUUUUAUCAGUUUUACAUACACCCAUUCUGGCUAGCAGUUUGCUCUUGUAGGAUUUUUUUUUUCUAUUUAUUGUUGAUUGACUGAGCUGUUAGAAUUUCAUGGUU
rnacentral:misc_RNA from 1 species